UCUCCCCAAGCUUUCUCCCUCUUUUGAUGUUUCUUUGCUUUUCUCCUCUUCACUGUGUCCAUCUUCCCAGCCCCUUCCUGAGCUCUGGCUCUCAGAAGCUGGGCGGGUACCAUUGUUAUUCUUAGCACAUGCUGUGCUAAGGCACUGUUGCCAGGGCUUUACACAUAUGAUUCAUUCUGCCCUCCCAGCCCUGGGCAGCGUGAUAUCCCUACUUCAUGGAUGAAGAAGACAUGCAGGCCUGUGGGGUUCAGUGAUUUGCUCAACCAAGUUCGUCGUGAGACUGGAUGAGCACAAAUCUGUUCCAAACUCAGCCGUGACCUUGCAGAACCAAGGUGGAGGGCCCCAGAACAUCCCCAGAGCCCUUCCCACCUAUGUUCACAGCCUUCUUCCACUGGCCAGGGAUUUGUGACUUCACCCACAUCAUCGGGAGCUGCUCCCUACCUCCACACUUUCUAUGAUGGAAGAGAUGAGAGACAGCAAUGAGUGGGUCUUCCUUGACACCAGUAAACAUCCAUGAACAUUUCCCCACAAAUGACUUUCCCUCAGGGACCACUGAGUGGGCAACCUAAGCACAUGAAGCCCCCACCCAGGCCUGUCCACCAAUCCACACAUGCCUCAACCUCAGAGCCCUCAAUGGACCCAUCAUUUAUGUCUGUUCUUCCUCUGAAGGAGGUGGCCGCCAAAGGGCCGAAUUUGACCCACCACCCCAUUUUUGUCAAUAAAGGUUUCCUGGA